UUUUGGUAGGUUGAAAUAAAAGUGGUUUUCAUUGAAGAGAAAUAAAAUACAAGUAUUUAAUUUAAAAUAUAAUUUUAUUGGUUGUAUUAUUAUUACUAUAUAAAAAGUGAAGAGAGGGGAGAGUUGCUUAGAUUAACUACUUGUUUUUUCAAAAUUUUCUUUGUACUUUUACUAUGUUAAAAUGUUAUAUUUUCUUGUUUUUACCUUUUAUUUUCUAUCGUCCUUUAUUUUUAUACUAACAAACAGACGUUGUGGGUAUGAAAGGAAACGUAGGAAAUUGAAUAAAAAGAUUGAAAAAAUUAACUUAAGAAAAAUGAAAAAAAAAAGGAAAAAUUUCAAUCAAUAUAAAAGAAAGAAAAGUAGAAUAUAUCAACAAACAGUCUCACCUAUAAACGCAUUUCUUACAAGAAGUUUCUUAGAUUUAUGCUUUUGUUCAUUCCAUUCAUUUCUUCAACCAAGAAACAUGCUUAAACGGGAGGCUAUCACUAAAGACAUUCACAACCAACCUUGUCUUAUACCUAGUUUUGACUCAACAUGAAUUCAUCCAUGAGGUAACCAGUUUUGACUGCUCUUUUUCAUUAAUAUCUUCAAUGGUUUAGUUUCCAUGUGAAAAAAAUAUCAUCUCAGUUUCUUACACUUUUCUUAUCAUUAUCCCAUAAUCUGUAAUCAAAAUCAUCACGAUCAUAACCUAAGAAUGCAUUUUCUUAUCUGGACAUGCUACUGUAUAGCAAUGGAGAGGCAUUGUCCAGCGAUGACCUCGACCGUAGUAGCUUAAGACCACCCAAAAACAGGUUCAAAAUCUCACAAACAUUAACCUCAACUAAAGUAUUUCAAAUCCAACACUCGAAAUAUACAAUUUUACAUUAAUCAUUCAUGCAAAUCAAAACUCAUAAUUUCAACAAUAAUAAAAGAUUAGUCUCUCUCACCUCAAAGCUACUUCUAGAUUUCUCUAAAACCUUUUCACAGCCUCCCAACUCCACCAGACACUUAAUUUAUACCUACAAGAAAAUCCAAAUAUUAAAGAAAAAAAAAAAAAAGAAAACAAUCCAUUUAUUGUACAUCUACUUUCGUAUUAAGGUUAUUCGUAUAAUUGUAUAUGGAUUUUUUCUUUCUACUAGUUUUCCUUCUACAUUUUUUCCUCCUAAACCAAAUACAACAUUUGAUAUUUCGAAGAGAAAUGAGUUGAUUCUUCAACCAAAUAAUUUGAACGAAGCCUCUCAAAAUCACCUGACCCACAAUUAGCCCUAGCACCUAACCCAUCUUUUAUUAUAAAUUUUAUUUUCAGAACUAAAGAUGUUUCUAGUGUUCGAAAACAUAUAUAUAUAUAUAUAUAUAUAUAUAUAUAUAUAUAUAUAUAUAUAUAUAUAUAUAUAUAUAUAUUUAAUUAAAGAAAUUAUGUAAAUUAUGUACCUCUUAAUGGUUUUUUAAACUCAGAUUUUAUUUUACAAAGUUAGUUUAAUUUUUCUAUGAUCCUAUUACUAGUAAGAGAUAUUUUUAAUAGAGAUCCGUGAUCACCCACAUUUGUUGAUUGGAAUAGUAAUAAAUUUUUAACCAUGAGUAUGAAACCAUCAAUCUAUUGAGAACACAUACUUUAUUACUUUUGUCUUUUAUUUUGUCUUUCAUGGAGAAUUUUGUUAUAAGAGUGAGUAGAACAAGUGAAUUACUUGUAGAAGAGAAGACCAGUCUUAUCGUUCUUUCAUCACAACGAUUCUGAUGGAUACUCAAUUAAACCAUAACUUUAACAUGCCCCUAAUCCAAGAUCAAACACUACGUUUCCAUGAAAACAACCAAAAUCCUCAAACAGAUUCUCCAAAUACUUCUUUCCUCACUACUUGUCUCAAUGGACUCAAUGUUUUAUCAGGUACUCUUUCUCUUCUUCUCACUCACUAUUCUCUAGAUCAUAACCUCAUUCAAUUUCCCCCCCUUCUUUUCUGCUUCGCGUACAUGCAAAUUUCGUUUUUUAUAAUGUUUUUAGAGUUUGUCAUUUUAUACAUAGAUAUGUAGAUCCUCGUUGGUUGGUGGGGAAUGAACACGAUGACCUUCUAUUUUUUAGUAUUUUAGCUUAUAUUUUAAUGAAAAUGAAUUCAAAUGUGAAAGAAGAACGAAAAUUAAAAAUGUACAAUAGUUUAGCAGAAAAAUAUAUUUAACUCAAAUCAAAAUAAUAACAUGAUUGUAGUUGAAAUAGAUGAUAAAUAGUUUGAAGUUGGGAUGAUUUAAAUUAAAAUCAAUAAUUAAGAAACAUUUUUUUAGUUAUAAAUUUGUUUUUAAACAAAUUAGUAAUAGAUGUGUAGUAAAAUAAAAAUAACGAAUUAGAGGAUUUAAGAGUCUUCAGUUAUUUUAGAAAUAUGUUAAAUAGAUUCGGUGGUCCUAUUUUUGUUGGUUUUCUUCAAGUUCUGUAUUUUCAAAAUGAUCAAUUUGGUUCCUGAUUUUGAAAAAUUAAAGUAAUUAAGUCCAUUCCGUUAACUUCUUUGAACGGUUUUACAAAUUGUGUUUGCUGGCAGGAAGAUGUGUCAUUUUCGAAACACGUGACAUAUAACCACUUUAUAACGUAGAUUUAAAAUAUUUGUUUAAGAUUUAAAUUGAAAAAGCACGUGCUAUAAAGAAUUGGAAAAAAUGAUUAUUUUUUUAUCUUUUAAAAAAAAUGGAAAGGAACUUGAUGUGUAAGUGUUAUGACUUAAACUUAUCUUGAUACUUUUGUGGAUUUAUUUAGACAACUAGCUAUAUGUAAAUGUUAUGACAUUAGCUUAUGUUUUUAAUUAUGUAUUUUAUUAGAAAAACUUGUUACACAGUAUUAUUAUUAUUAUUAUGUAUUAGGAUAAAUAGUUAUCCAUAUAGUUAUUUUAUUUUACAUAUUUUAUCAUUGUUUUGGUAAAUUUAUCAAAUACAAGUAUUGUCUCCUAUUAAAAGUGUGUGAAUAUAUACAUAUUCUUAACUUAAAACAUUAAGAUACUUAUUUUAAACUUUCUUAAAAAGAGUGAUUGUUAUAUAAAUUGGAAUACGUUAUAAUCAACUUAUGUGAACUUGAUUAAUUUAAUCUAACUUGACUAUAAAUUUGUGUAAGGUUGAAUCGCUAUUUUGAAUUAAAUUUAUAUUCCUUUACCUAUUUAAAAUGAAAUAGAUUAUUAAGUUAAUUUUUUUACUCAAUUAUUCUAAUCUAACUUUUAUCUUAUUAAAAAGUAUUUGUUUGAAUUUCGCACAUUUAUUUUGUGUUAUUAUUAAAGGUGGUCAAUUAAAUAUUAUAACCUUUGCUUGUAAAGACAAAUAAUUUAUAGUUUUAUGAUUUUUUUUUUAAUUUUUAAAAAAUAUUACCAUUUUAAUUAAUUAAUCUGAAUUCUAACGAGUGAAAAUAAGUUAAAAUAGCUAAAACUAAAAGAAUUUUAUCUGAUUAAUUCCUUUGUAAAAGUAUAUUUCUGAAACUAAAACAUGUAUAAAUUGUUGGCAUAACUUUCAUCUAUUCGUACGUCGGAUCAACGACCUUUAUUUAUGAAAAUGGAAUGAAUACCUCACUAUCAAACAUAUAGAAUAAGAGAAACAUGGGCGAGCUAACUACGCUUCUUCCCUUUAAUUUUGCUAAAAGUGGGACCUUUAUUUUCCUAAAAUGCUCUUACACGCUUGUUUCAUCUCAUAAACGAGAAAGGGAAUUUAUCUGCCUUAUCCCACUUCAUCAUGCAACCGCGUUCUUUUCAGUUUGCCAUACUUCACUUAAAUAUUCAGUUUACUCAGUAUGAAUUUCUUUCUAUCCAUAAAUACAUGCUCAACAAUAAUAAAUAUAUAUCUUAAUUAUUAAAUAUUUUCAGCAGUUUAAAAGUGCGUAUAAAAUUAUUUCUUUUAUAGUUGCCUCAACCUAUGUUUAAUGUAAAAACAUAAUCUAAUAUAAGGCUAUUGUUUUGUUUCCAAUUUUGGUUUAAUUUUCAGGUGUUGGCAUACUCUCAGUUCCUUAUGCUCUUGCAACAGGGGGCUGGUUAAGCAUGACUUUUCUGUUUUCUAUUGCCGCUACUGCAUUUUACACGGGCCUUCUGAUUAAAAGAUGCAUGGAUAAGGACUCAAACAUUAGAACCUACCCUGAUAUAGGUGAACUUGCAUUUGGAAAGACAGGAAGACUGAUAAUAUCAAUAUCCAUGUACACGGAACUAUAUCUGGUUUCAAUAGGAUUCUUGAUUCUAGAAGGUGAUAACUUGAAUAACAUAUUCCCCAUUGGAGAGGUUCACAUAGCAGGCUUAACAAUUGGUGGGAAGCAAUUAUUUGUGAUUAUGGUUGCCCUUAUCAUCUUGCCCACAGUUUGGUUGGACAACUUGAGUCUACUUUCUUAUAUAUCUGCAAGUGGAGUCUUUGCUUCUGUUCUCAUCAUCCUUUCAAUAACAUGGACUGCAACAUUUGACGGAGUUGGUUUUCAUCAUAAAGGAACUCUUGUCCAUUGGAAUGGUCUCCCCACAGCUGUUAGCUUGUAUGCCUUCUGUUAUUGCGCACAUUCUGUCUUUCCGACGUUGUACAAUUCGAUGACAAAUAAACAUCAGUUCUCUAACGUAAGUAAUCAUGUUUGGUUAUUAUUGUCUUAUAUUCAAGUAAAGACUAUAUCUUUCACUUGCUUUUUCUAUCUAAUUAAUGAAUUUUACUUUUCCGAACAUUGCAGGUCCUACUAGUAUGUUUUCUCCUAACCACUGUGGGUUAUGCAUCCAUGGCUAUAGUGGGUUAUUUAAUGUUUGGCGAGGAGGUUGAAUCACAAGUAACAUUGAACCUACCUCUAGACAAAGUCAGCUCAAAAUUAGCAAUAUACACAACCUUGGUGAAUCCCAUAUCCAAGUUUGCUUUGAUGGCAACACCUAUUACGAAUGCUUUGAAAGAGUUGCUUCCAAUGACGUACAAUAAUAGGGUGACGAGCAUCUUACUGAGCACAUCGUUGGUAUUGAGCACCACCAUUAUUGCCCUUGUUGUCCCUUUCUUUGGGUCUCUGAUGUCAUUGGUUGGAGCCUUUCUAAGUGUCACAGCUUCUAUUCUGCUUCCAUGCUUGUGCUACUUGAAGAUUUCAGGCACUUACAAGAAAUUUGGGUGUGAGACCGUAGCCAUAGUGAUAAUAAUAAUGACAGCUAUUGUAAUGGCAAUUUCAGGGACCUACAUCUCUCUUAUGGAAAUAACCCACAAUUUAUAAAAGACAAUGCAGUGGUUCACUCUUUUGACUAUAAAUUACCAAAAAGAAAAACAAUAUUUUUUUUUCAUGUGGAAUGCAUUUGCCUUUAAGAGUUAAAAGACAGAUUAAAGAUCAAAAAGUGGUUGGUAAAUACAUUUUUUUAUAAUUAAAAGUAAUGCAUGUGUGUGCGUGUGUUAUGUGCUUGUGUGCGUGUGUGUAUGCGUGUGUGUGAGCAAACAUACUUUAUUACUUUUGUCUUUUAUUUUGUCUGGAGAAUUUUGUUAUAAGAGUGAGCAGAAGAAGUGAAUUACUUGCAAAAGUGAAGACCAGUCUUAUUGCUCUUUCAUCACAACGGUUCUAAUGGAUACAACCAACUGCCAACUAAACCAUAACCUUAACAUGCCCUUAAUCCAAGAACAAACACUACGCUCCCAUGAAAACAACCAAAAUCCUCAAACAGAUUCUCCAAAUGUUUCUUUCCUCACCACUUGUCUCAAUGGACUCAAUGCUUUGUCAGGUACUAUUUCUCUUCUUCUUUCUCACUAUUCUCAGCUCAACAUGAUAUAUAUAUAUAUAUAUAUAUAUAUAUAUAUAUAUAUAUAUAUAUAUAUAUAUAUAUAUAUAUAUAUAUAUAUAUAUAUAUAUAUAUAUAUAUAUAUAUAUCUGUGUGUGUGUGUGCGCGCAUGUGCGUGUGUGUGAGCAAAAAUACUUUAUUACUUUUGUCUUUUAUUUUGUCUGGAAUAUUUUGUUAUAAGAGUGAGCAAAAUAAGUAAGUUACUUGCAGAAGUGAAGACCAGUCUUAUCGCUCUUUCAUCACAACGGUUCCAAUGGAUAUAACCAAAUGUCAACUAAACCAUAACAACUAAACCAUAACCUUAACAUGCCCCUAAUCUAAGACCAAACACUACACUCCUAUGAAAACAACCAAAAUCCUCAAACAAAUUCUCCAAAUGUUUCUUUCCUCACCACUUGUCUCAAUGGACUCAAUGCUUUGUCAGGUACUAUUUCUCUUCUUCUUUCUCACUAAUCUCAGCUCAACAUGAUAUAUAUAUAUAUAUUUGUGUGUGUGUGGGUGGGUGGGUGGGUGGGGGGGUGUGUGUGCAUGCUUGCAUGUGUGUGUGUAAUAUCCUCGUUUACGCGAAUAAUAUGUGGUUGGUGGGAAACACGAAUGAUCUUAGUAUUUUAGCUUAUAUUCUAAUGAUUAGAGCACUAUUGCAAAAAAGGCUUUUGAUAUAUGUUAUUUUCAACAUUCCAUGUUAAAUUCAUAUCCGACGUCUUAUUGGGAGACAUCAAUUUUGACGUCGGAUCCCCUUUCCGGAUGUCGACUAUGACGUUGGACCCCCCUAAACCGAUGUCCAUUUCUUUUUUUUUUUUAAUAAUUUCUUUUUACAAUAUUACCACAUCUGAAAUAAAGAGAAACAAUUUUAGUAUAUCAUAAAAUUGUAUAUACUAUAAGUUUCAAGCAAUGGAGAAUGAUCACUCAAUGUCACCGCCAAGAUCCGUCAACUUAUGCAAAAAACUGCAUCAUAAGCAAAAAUUAAUUGGUGUAAAAGAACUUAAUUGGUGCAAAUGAAAUUUAGUCGGUGAAAACUAAAGUUAAUCAGUGCAAAUUAGAGUAACUUAUCUUGCCUCAACAAUGACGAACGUGAAUGAAACGAAAAUCCAAACAAAAACGUAAAACAAAGUGAGGCUCGCAUUCUGAGUUUUUGGGGUUUAAAAGGACAUUUGACGUCAAGUGCCUCCACCACCGACAUCUAAUUGAAAAAAAAACAUUUUGGCUUUACUUUGGGGUAUUUUCACAGCUUAUUAUGCUCUAGGGAAAGGGAUCCGAUGUUAGAAGUGGACUUUAAACCUAACUCAGUCCCACAAAACCAGCUUAUAAGGUAAGGUUUGCACCUCACUUAUAUAUUAAAAUUUGGCCUUAACUCUAGUCAAUGUGGGACUUCCAACGCACCCCCUUCACGCCGAGGUAUAAAUAUCUCGAGCAUAAUAGUAGAAUUUGGUGGUUCGAUAGCGGUCUGACAACAGGUGGAAUAUAAAUGCUCAAGAAACAAAAAAUAUUGCUAAGAUAUGCUCUAAUCAUGGCUCUGAUACCAUAUUAGAAAGUGGUAUAAAGAAAUGUUUGUUGCUGGAGAAUGCAUUCUUGGUCUCUCUAAGAACCCUCAAUGUGUUUGUUUCUUUAAUUUUCCAUCCACUCAUUCUAACACCACUUUGUCUAAAAUUCCCAAUUAAUUAUUAUUAUUAUUAUUAUUAUUAUUAUUUAUCAUCUUAACACACGAUAUAAAAUUGUCUCAUUUUUUUCUACUAUAUAAAAAAAAUUUAAAUAGUUUGAAAAAGUAUACUCUUCAAGUAUUGUCCACAAGUUUGUUCUGAUAUCAUGUUAGAAGUGGAUUUUAAGUCUAACUCAAUCACAUAAAAUCGGCUUGUCAUGUGAGGUUUGCACCUCACUUAUAUAUUAUAAUUUGUCUUUUAUCUCUAGUUGAUGUGGUUCCAACAUCCGACGUUUAAUAUGUAUUAGACGUCAGCCCCUUCUAUGUGCGAUGUUUAAUGUUUGAAAAAGUUUCCUUUCAAAUAUAAUUUUGCAGAGGAUUUGACGUCUAGUCUGGGGGGAGUCCACAUCUAAUUCGAAAAAAAUUAAUAUCGACACUUAAAAUGAGAUAUUUUUGGACAUUUUUUACGUUCGUGGAGUGGAAGCUGACGUCUAAUUUGAAUUAGAUGUUGGGGGGACUGUAGUCGACAUCUAUAUCUUAUUUGACGUCAGUUCCCUUUUUAACCGACUUCUAUAAUGACGUUUAAUUUACAAAAUUGUCACCGAUUAUUUUUUAUGUUAAUUUUUUUUUUGUUAAAUAUUAAACACGUGACCUUAAAUGUUAUUUUUUCACUGGUGGUGGUGGUUUUGGAGGAAAGCACGUGAUAAUCAUCGCAGGUUGUCCAUUGGAUGAUUUGUCAACCUUUUCUUUUUGUUGCCAUAAAAGAUCACGAGAAGAUUUCAAAUCCAAUCCCAUUAGACAUAAAUUGAAGAUAAAGAGCUGGUGGGGGGUUGGAGACUUUCUUAGUUCGAAGCAUGCACAAAUUAAUUAACACAAUAUUGUUUGGCAGGUAGAAGAAAAAAAUAUAGCCAUGACCCAUUUGUUUGUUUUCUUUUUCUGUUUUUUUUUUUUCAUACAAGUUGUUUUUCGUGGAGUGAAAUAAAAUAAAAAUAUUUAAUUUAAAAAUUAUAUCUUUAUAAAUUAGUUAUGUUACUAUCAUUAUUAUAGAAAAUUGGGAAUAAUAAAGCGAUGAGAGUUGCUUAAAUUGACCAAGUCCUUUUCAAAAUAUUCUUUGUAGUUUUACUAUGAUGAAAUAAAAUACUUUCUUAUUUUUACCUUUUAUUUUCUAUCUCCUUUACUUUUUAUGAUAAAGAACAGACACGAUAGGUACGAAAAGAUAAGAUAAAAAAUUGAGCCAAAAAAUGAAGUAUUUUAUGUAAGAAAAAUGAAAAACGAAAAAUUAUGAUCGAUUUGAAAGAAAGAAUGUAGAUUAUAUUAAAGCUAUUGUUUUUACACCUAACAAAUUUUAACUUACAUUUUACAUCUAUUAUUUUUUUCUUUAAUUUUAUUUUUCUUUACAAAUAAAAAAUUUAACCUUUUUAAUAACUAAAAUACUCCUAAAAAUGGGUUGUGAACUAUAAAUUACAUAAAAGAAAAACAUUUUCCUUCUACCAAUAACAUUACUCUUUAAAGGCCUUAAUUAGUUCUUAGGAGAUAAGUAUAUAAUCAAUAAUGAUUAUGAUACUAUGAUGCUAGGAUGGAUCGCAUCAUGUGUCUUGAGAAUUUUUUUCUGAUAGGCCACUGUUUCGUUUUUCUUUUCUAGGAUAGCAUACAUACCGAUAGUUUAAUUAUAAAGAAAAACAUUAUUUAUUUAUGUGUUGGUUGUGGAGGAGUAAAUCUUGCACUUUAAAAAAAUGAAAAUAGAGAAAGAAACGAAAAUCAAAAUCAGGGAUAAAAAUACAUUUAAUCCAAAUGAAAAUAAUAAUAUGAUUGUAGUUGAAAUUAAAUGAUAAAUUGUUUGAAGUUAUGAUGAUUUAAAUUAAAAUUAAUAAUUGGGAAAUAAAUUGUUCUAGUUAUAAAUUUUUGUUUAAACAAAUUAAUAAUAGAUGUGUAGUAAAAUAAAAAUAAAGAAUUAGAUGAUUUAAGAGUCUUCGAGUUAUUUUAGAAAUAUUUUUAUUUACUAAUAUUUAAUUUAUCAAAAACUAAGAAGUGUAAUUUUAGUGAAUAUGUAAUAUUUAAUAUCUUAGAGAAUUAAAAGGAAUUAGUUUUUUCUUUUUACAAACAAAUUGAUAUAUUUGAUAGAAAAAUGUUGAAAAUUGAAUUAUGAGGUAUAAUUUUUUUUAUAUAUAUAGUUAUUUACCUAAACAGAUAUAAUUAUUUGGUAAAUUUUGUAAGAAAUACAAUUUGAGUUGAGUUAAAGGUGAGUAGAUAAUUGUGGUAUAAACUUAACUAGAUAUGUAUAAGCAAAUUGAAAAGAUAAAAAUAUUUAUUUAAAGCAUUGUAAUUAUAUAUUUGAAGAUAAUUAAUUACGUGAGAUUAAUCCUUAGGGUUCUGCGAAUAAAUUUUUGAUUAAAAAAUUAUUUAAUUAACUGAAUAAAUAUAUGCAUUUAUCAAAUUUAUUUUCUCAUCUUAAUUUUUUUUUUCAUCUACUCAUUUUAAAGCAAUAAAAAACAAAAAAGAAAACAAAAAAACCUAUCUCAGUUUUCCGAAAACCAAAUUUUGAUUGAUUUUACGGUGCUGAAAAAAAAAAAAACGAUCACAAAAUUCAACUAUCUUGAAAUCGGAUUCUAACCUAUUUUAAAAAACCAUGCCAUCUGUGUAAUUAAAGUGCACAGGAUGUUAUCUUAGAAAAAAAAUAUGAAACAAUGUCCUGUCAGGAAAAUUUUCUUAUUUUAGACAUAUAAUUGAUAAUAUUUAUGUAUAAUGGAUUACAUGUAUCUGAGAGAAUAAUUUUUUCAAUGAAUCAUAUCACAGUACACCUUCUAUUCCUGGCUGAUUCAUAGUGUCUGAUCCUCUUCCUCGAUCGAUGUCACCACCACUAAUUUCUACUUCUAUCACAUUGUUCUUGAAGCACCUCUUUCUCUUUACAAUAAGAUGAUACUUCCAUUUCCAGUUCCCAUGUGAAUUCCUAGCCAGGUUUAUGCUCCAAAUGAAAACAAACAGAUAUGAAGAAAAUUGAAAAUUAUUAAAUAUGUACCUAAUUAAGAUUAAGUUAUAAGAUAUAUACUUAAAUAUGCUUUUGUCUAUUCAAAAUUAAUAUGUAUUGUAUUCAAGUUUAUUUUGAUUGUGAAUGAGUUUUGUACAUGUUUUCUUUUCUCGUUAUGUCAUAUGAUUAAUCAAUCAUAGCUAGUUUUAAAUAUCCUAAUUUUUUUAAAUAUCCUAAUUUUUGUGUGGACUAAAAUACAUGAUGGAAUUGUUAUUUUUUUUAUUGAAAAUUAUUAGUAUUUUGUUAAACACUUCGAAUUCUCACUUAACCUGCCAACUUUUUUGUUUUUUACUUUUGAAGUUAAAUUAGGAAUACAUGUAGGAAUGGUAAAGGGUUGAGUCGGACAUGGAUAGUACCCAUCUGCAGUUCGACUCAAUAAAAAAAAUUCACCUAAUUUCCGACCCAUUACUUGCACGGAUAACCGUUUAAAAAAUAGGUUUCAUUGCUUGGUUUGUCUCCAGUUUGGUUAAAGUAUGUGAAGCUCGUUCAUCCUUUUAAAAAAGUUUCAAUUUCGUCCAAAAGUGAUAAAAUUUGUCUCAAUCAAGUCUAUUCCGUUAAAUAUACAGAAACGACAUUAACUUUUGUUUCUCUUUCCUCUGUUCAUUUGUACAACGUAAUAGUCCUUUGUUAGUACUAUUAUGAUGACUUGAGGUUGAUUAACAAGUAAAAGACAAAACCUCACAUGAAAAUAACAAUAUCAAUUUCUUGCUUUAUUUUUUCAUCUUCUUUGGUUUUCUUCCUCGUACCUUCUCUUUAUCUCUUUGCAUUUUUCUGCUUCGAGUUGAGUGUGUUGCCCUGUACUUUUUGUUGAUCGAAUUGUCCCUCUUCAGAGGUCAAAAUUACAGAUAAUUUUACGCCACGUUUGCAAACAAGUUGCUACUUUUCUCCUUGUCUGUUUUUGAUUUUACUGUUUCUCAGAUACCCUUUUCCCUUUUCUUUUCCCCAAAGCAAACCAUUGUUUCUUCUAUGGCUAAGCCGAUUCCAUAAGCUGAGUCACAAUCUGGGUUUGUUUUGCUUUGGUUUUUCUUGUAUUUUUUUUUAUCUAAUUUCAAGAUACCGAUCCAUUUUUCUCUUCUCUUUUGGUAGUUUUAUUCGUCUUUCUCGUUUGAAAGGAAGGUUUUCUUAAAUUUCUAGUUUUGAGUGGGGAUUCUGUGGAAUCUAGUGAAGGGUCAUUUUGGAGUUUAGAUUUGUCUAUGUAGUAAGGAUUAAGGAAUUUAUGUUAAGCUUCAGGUGCCAUGUGAGAUGUGUCAUGCCUUUUUAACUUUGUUCUGUGACGUGGCCGUCACUAGUGCAGCGAGGGGAUUUUACCGUGGUUAUUUUUCACUAUAGGUCGCGGUUUACGAAUCGCGGCAUAUUCAGCCGCGGUAGUAAGUCAGAGACUUUAGGCCGCGGUUAAAACCGCGGUAUAUAAGUUCCGUAAUCUGUCG
rnacentral:lncRNA from 1 species